rnacentral:rRNA from 1 species
GAGUUUGAUCUUGGCUCAGAUUGAACGCUGGCGGCAGGCCUAACACAUGCAAGUCGAGCGGAUGAAGGGAGCUUGCUCCUGGAUUCAGCGGCGGACGGGUGAGUAAUGCCUAGGAAUCUGCCUGGUAGUGGGGAUAACGUCCGGAAACGGGCGCUAAUACCGCAUACGUCCUGAGGGAGAAAGUGGGGGAGUCUUCGGACCUCACGCUAUCAGACGAGCCUAGGUCGGAUUAGCUAGUUGGUGGGGUAAAGGCCUACCAAGGCGACGAUCCGUAACUGGUCUGAGAGGAUGAUCAGUCACACUGGAACUGAGACACGGUCCAGACUCCUACGGGAGGCAGCAGUGGGGAAUAUUGGACAAUGGGCGAAAGCCUGAUCCAGCCAUGCCGCGUGUGUGAAGAAGGUCUUCGGAUUGUAAAGCACUUUAAGUUGGGAGGAAGGGCAGUAAGUUAAUACCUUGCUGUUUUGUACGUUACCAACAGAAUAAGCACCGGCUAACUUCGUGCCAGCCGCCGCCGUAAC